GUUAUUUACUUAAAAACUAAAAGAUUUGGCGGUACUUUAAUCUUUCCAGAGGAACUUGUUUUUUAAUCGAUAGUCCACGAAAUAUCUUGCUUACUUAAUUAGUAUUAGUUUGUAUACCUUCAUUAUCAGAUAAUUUUAAAAGAAAAAAUUGUUAGAAUUGUUAUUUGCAAAAAAAUUAGAUCAUGGUGCAGCUUAUAGGUAAGUUUAAAUGAGUUACAAUAAAUUAUUUUAUAUGGAUUUAUAAUGUAAGUGUUAUAAUGAAGGUGGAUUUGGUUGUAUUAUGAGUUUAAUAAGCUCAUAAGAUAUAGGCUCUAAAUUAUGU
rnacentral:rRNA from 1 species